UGGGGAAUAUUGGACAAUGGGGGCAACCCUGAUCCAGCCAUGCCGCGUGAGUGAUGACGGCCUUAGGGUUGUAAAGCUCUUUCACCCACGACGAUAAUGACGGUAGUGGGAGAAGAAGCCCCGGCUAACUUCGUGCCAGCAGCCGCGGUAAUACGAAGGGGGCUAGCGUUGUUCGGAAUCACUGGGCGUAAAGCGUACGUAGGCGGACCUGUAAGUCAGGGGGGAAAUCCCGGGGCUCAACCGCGGAAUUGCCUUUGAUACUGCCGGUCUUGAGUUCGGGAGAGGUGAGUGGAACUGCUAGUGUAGAGGUGAAAUUCGUAGAUAUGAGCAAGAACACCAGUGGCGAAGGCGGCUCACUGGCCCGAUACUGACGCUGAGGUACGAAAGCGUGGGGAGCAAACA
rnacentral:rRNA from 1 species